rnacentral:rRNA from 1 species
CCUACGGGGGGCUGCAGUGAGGAAUAUUGGUCAAUGGGAGAGAUCCUGAACCAGCCAAGCCGCGUGAGGGAAGACGGCCCUAUGGGUUGUAAACCUCUUUUGUCGGAGAACAAAACCCGGGACGAGUCCCGGACUGCGUGUAUCCGAAGAAAAAGCAUCGGCUAACUCCGUGCCAGCAGCCGCGGUACUACGGAGGAUGCGAGCGUUCUCCGGAUUUAUUGGGUUUAAAGGGUGCGUAGGCGGUCUGUUAAGUCAGCGGGAAAAUUGCGGGGCUCAACCCCGUCGAGCCGUUGAAACUGGCAGACUUGAGUUGGCGAGAGGUACGCGGAAUGCGCGGUGUAGCGGUGAAAUGCAUAGAUAUCGCGCAGAACUCCGAUUGCGAAGGCAGCGUACCGGCGCCAGACUGACGCUGAGGCACGAAAGCAUGGGGAUCGAACAGGAUUAGAUACCCCAGUAGUC